rnacentral:rRNA from 1 species
CUCGCCUUCUGUCAGCGGUCCGGGGGCUCCCAGUUCUGACAAUCCAUCAUACAACUCCUCCCAGUCCUCCGCAUAGGGACCUCGAUUGCGGUUGGAUCUGGCACCGUUACACUGUUUUGGUUCGAUUGUUAGGCUGGGAAUGCUCCCUUCGCGGCUCGCUUUCCUAGCUUGUUCGCCAUUGCGGAAGAGCCGCGGAUAUCUGUCGCGGUGGCCCUUAUUGACUUAGGGCAACUAGUGUUCCGGCGACCGUUCGGACCCGCAGAGACCGCCGAUUGGCAUGACUUGCUUGACUGCAUCGCACUGCACGAGCCUGAUUUGGAUAUGGGAGAUGACUGCAGCAGGUGGUGACUAGAGCCAUCUGGCCAAAACUCCACCAAAUCCCUUUACCAGGCGAUCGCCCCCUCCCCGAGACCCGAGGCUCUCAGCACCAUUUGGGAGAUCCGACUCCCCCUGAGGAUUAGAAUUUUCUUGUGUCAAUGGAUCCGCGGCCGCCUUCCGUCCGGCGUGGAGGUCUUGAAGCGCAAUGGCCCUGGCGACGGGCGUUGCCCGCUAUGUGGGCCCGAAGAGGAUUUAAACCAUAUCUUCUUCACAUGUAUGUCCGCGCAAUUCUUCUGGAGCUGUUUCCACGAAAUAGCGGGUGGCAAUUGGGACCACAACAACUUCCCCGCUCUUUUUUGCCAAACUUCAGGCAUUACUACCCUCGUCUUGCCACAUUAG